rnacentral:tRNA from 1 species
GGGCCCUUAGCUCAACUGGUUAGAGCGGCGGACUCAUAAUCCGUAGGCUGGGGGUUCAAGUCCCUCAGGGCCCA